rnacentral:lncRNA from 1 species
ACAAAUGAUGGCUUUGCUUAUAACGUUUUGUUAGACUACACAGUGGCUAACUCGUCCAUCGGGACCGGAAAUCUCAUCUUGACAAGGCCGAAAUACAACAGCACAUUGUCGAUUCUUCGACUCGGGAUCGAUGGAAACCUGAGGGUUUUUACCUACUAUGACAAGGUUGAUUCACAGGCAUGGGAAGAGACUUUCACUCUCUUCUCUAGGGACUCAAUAUGGGGCACUGAAUGCGAACUGCCGGAGAGGUGUGGGAACUUUGGACUCUGUGAGGAGAACCAAUGCGUUGCUUGCCCGUCAACAAACGGAUUACUCGGUUGGAGCCAGAAUUGUCAGCCGAAGAAGGUGAAUUGUAGGCCGAAUGGUUUCAGCUACUACAAGCUAGAAGGAGUUGACCAUUUCAUGAGCCAGUACAACGAAGGAGAAGGGAUAAAGGAGAGUGAUUGUGGGAGGAAAUGCACCUCUGAUUGCAAGUGUUUGGGGUACUUUUACCACAGGGAAACAUCCAAAUGUUGGAUCGCUAAUGAGUUGAAAACCCUUGCUAAAACCUCUAACUCUUCCCAUGUUGGUUAUAUAAAGGCACCCAACAAGUGACGGGAAUCCUAUUAAGUAUUUGUACUUUUUCCUCUGUAUUUUCCAGUUUCUUUAUUGUAAGCUAAUAAGUAUUUGUAAGUUUGAAUUACAAAUUAAAGUUUUAUUUAAAAGUAUCAAUCAAGUGUAUUUGUAGUCAAUAAACUAAAUUCGAAAUGCAUUGAGUGGAUCAAGUGCAAGUUCUCAUGGCUCUUCUCUUUUGGCGCAUAAACGAAUAGAGACAGAAUGGUACAGAAUAGUAAAGGAACUCUGUAGUGUUCCCAGAAUAGGAAAACUAUUUUUGUUAAUCAAUACUUAUUUUUCUUAAAAUCUUAAAUUAAAUUAAAUUAAAUUGAUACCAUUAACUUGAAAUAUCGUGAUCUAAAAUUUCUAUAUUGCAUCAUGUUUUGAUUGGUAUUAUCAAUAUAAUAUUGAGAAAAGGGGAUGGAAGAUAACAGAAUUUAAAUUCAUAUAAUUUAAGUGCUUGUGAGAAGCUUUCAUUAUUGCUCUAAAUAUCUGUUGGUUUAGUUGAUAUGAUGAAAGGUUGAAAAAAAUUUUAUUUUUUUAAGGAAUUUAUCGAAGUGAAUUAAUCCUUCAUAUUAUGUAAGUUUAUUAAGAGAUUAGAUAUUAAUCACGAUUUUUAAAGGUGCUUUAUACUUAGGACAAGUACCAAAACCUUAAUCAUUGAUGAAGGUAGGAGAAAAUUUUAUAUCUUCCCUAAACAAUUGGAAUAUAUUUAAAUUGUGAAGUUGAAAUAUGAAAGCAAUUAAUAGCUAAAAUUUUGUUACCAGAUACAGCGCAAUCUAAACCACAAGCGAGGGUCCCGUAGAGAUGCUUUGUUGCCUUAUCUUCCAACCGGCCCGCCAUUUAGAUGUAAUUGCACCAUAGCUAAGCUUGAUGUCUUCAAGACUUUCAAAGCCGUCACAAAAGACUCAAACCAACGGUGGCUUGCUCGUGUUUAUCCAUUACAAUAUCUCCUAACACUGAAAAAUUAGUAAAGUAUAUUUUUAUAAAUAAAGUAAUUAUAUUAUUAUGAAUUUAAUAUAAAUUUAAUAUAAAUUUAAUUACGAUGAAAUUUGAAUUCAUAAUAUAAUGAAUUUUAAAUAUUUAAUUUUAUUUUUUAAAUCACAUAUAAUUUCUACCUCAAGUUUUAAUAAAUAUAUUAUUGUUACAUAAAUCGUGGGUAUGACUUAAUUUAAUAAAUUGUUAAAUAACUUAUGAACAUCUCUUUUAUCACUAAAAUUUUAAACUAAAAGUGAAUAAUUUAUUUACCUAAAUAAAUAUAAAUGUGUAGUUAAGGUUUAGUGCAGGGGCUUUGGCCUCCUAAAAAUUAGAAAAUUAAAAUUCUAGUUCUCUGUAAAUGAUCAAAUUAUAAAUUAAUAUAAGGGAAAAUUCUGCUUUGGUUUUCUAAAAAAUUUCCGAAUUCACCCCUAGUUUAGGGCAUUAUUUUCAUAAACAUAUUGAAUUAGUUAAUUAGAUCAGUUGAACCGAGAAUCAACUGAAGUAGUACUAAAUACACAAAUCAUCAUCUAUACCUAUACCAAAAUUAUUUUUAUCAGAUGCACUAACAUUGAAAACUAUUUUUUUUCACAAGUAAGUUGGUGGUGGUGACAAAUGUCUCAUUUAUUUAAUUUUAAAAAAAAAUUAAAAUUAUUCAAAAGAUACUCAUCAUCAUGGUAAGAAUACAAGUGAAUUUAUGAUAAACUAAAUAAUUAUCUAUUACUUAUUGGUCGAUUGAAUUGAUGCCACCAGAUGAAAAUCACUUAUAAAUAAUUAUAAGACACGUUAAAAUAUACAUAUAGUGACCUAAACCUAAGAGACACUACUUUAGUUUCCUUGCUGAACUUCAAAACUUUAUUUGCUUGCCAGUAACUAUAGAUAAAAAUAAUAAUACAAGUUAGGAUAUGAUAUGAUUGGUUAUCCCCACGAUUGUAGAUAUAAAUUUUGUUUUACAAUUAAAAAUAUAGAAAGGAAGAUCACUUAGACACACUACGUGUCCCAGCUUGCCUUUACGCAAAAUGAUAAUGAAUUUAUUUAUUAAUGUUUUGAUGACCAAGUUUUUCCAUAAUCUUGACCUCUUAAUAAAUAAUUUACAUGAUGCUGACCCUCUAAAUUUAACUAAUUAAAUCCUAUCUAUUUAUCAAUAUUUUAUAAAUCUUAAAACAUGACAAAUUAUGAAAUAAUCUAACAGAGACAUGCACGUAACCAUAGGGUUUAUAAGAACUGUCUUGUCUGUAGCAAAUUGAAGAAACGUUUUUUGGCGUCUCACCUUCUAAAUUAUGUCGUUUUAUUAUAGUAUAAAUGAUUGAUGCUUUAGCUUUGAUUUUUGUUUCCCUUUUAUAGGAAUAUUAAAAUGCCAAGUGUAGAUAAUGCAAGACAGGAAAUGACAGCGGGUGGGCCUAGAAUCCUGAAAUUAUUUUGGUCAAGCAAGGCCCUUUUAAUUAUUAAUUGAGCAGCCAACUUUUGCCAAACUAUUAAAGUUGAGGUCUUAUUCUUCCUCCACUCCCUGUAAUAUCGAGAACUUUAAAUUUAAGUCCUACCUUUCAUACUAGUCCCUUUACUUGUUUGUUUGAAAAUUAAAGUACAAUUGAUGACACUUUUAUUGAAUUUGAGUUAUCAAUUGGACUUCAUUCAAUUUUUAAAUCAGACUUUUGAUUUUUUUUUAAGUUUUACUAUUACAAAUACAAUACAAGUACAAAUAUAUGUCCGAUCAACUAUAAUAUAGAAUCAAACCAACACAAAGGCAAAACCCUCACAUGGUAAAUGUGUAUGGUGAGAUAAGAGACUCAUUGCAAUUAUGCAUGAUGAACUCAAACUUGGGUAUUCAAAUUUAAAGAAAUUUCAUUAAUACUAUUAUCAAUUAAACUUUAAAUUUUAAGUUAAACAACCGGAGGGAUUUAAUUUUUGGAGCUAAAGACAUAGGGAUUAAAAUUUUAAGGUCUUAAGAUUACACAGACUGUGGGGAGAAUUAAACCAAAAUUUAAUUACUCUCUUUUCAAUCGACUUAAAUAUUUAGCCUAAGUCAAUCCUAAUCCUAAAUUUAAGAGAAGCUAAUUAAACAUUUAAAUGGCUUACUUCUGAAGGGAAAAUUGUUCAGUCGGCGGUGCAAUUCGAAGAAUAAUUAUAGUUCCAUUGUAGCAGCCUCUGCUUUAACUUGGCUGACCAGAUUUUGGAAUAUCAACAUCGAUUGCACCUAAGAUAAUAUAAGGUCAAAAUCAUUGUGGAUCAGAUUGAUAUCUUCUAGUAGAAGGCAAAGAUUGUGUUUUUUUUUUUUCAAAAUAUUUUUGAAAACCCAAUUUUUUAAUCUCAUGAAUCUAUUUUAUUAUACCUUUGAUGGUAUGCAAUGUGCCUUCAUUGAAUCCUUAUAAAUAGACCAUGCUUGGUUGCUCCAUCUCCAUAUCAUCAAAGCUACCAUAUCCAAAAAUGUCUCUUUACCCUUCUCUCACCAUGUCAUUGCUGUCUUUUUCCUUGUUGUUGCUGUUUGCUUUUAGUGCCAAAGCUGUUGUUCCCCCAUCUGAAACUUUUAGGUUUGUCAACGAAGGGGAAUUUGGGCCUUUUAUUGUUGAAUAUGGUGCAGAUUACCGUGUCAUAAGCAUAGCUAAUGCCCCCUUCCAGCUUGCGUUUUAUAACACCACCCCUAAUGCCUUCACCCUUGCGUUACGCAUGGCUACAACGCGUUCCGAGUCGCUCUUCCGAUGGGUUUGGGAGGCCAACAGGGGGAACCCUGUUCGCGAGAACGCCAUGUUCUCUCUCGGGACUGACGGGAACCUUGUCUUGGCUGAUGCCGAUGGUCGGAUUGCUUGGCAAAGUAACACUGCCAACAAAGGUGUGGUAGGGUUCCAAUUGUUGCCUAAUGGUAACAUGGUGUUACACGAUUCCAAUGGCAAGUUCAUUUGGCAAAGUUUUGAUCAUCCAACUGAUACACUCUUGGUGGGUCAGUCGAUUAGAGCCGGAGGGGCGACGAAGCUUGUGAGUCGGGCUUCUGCUCAAAACAAUGUCAACGGAGCCUAUAGCUUGGUGAUGGAGCCUAAACAGUUGGUUUUGCAGUACAAGGGAAUGAACUCUCCUAAACCACUUGUCUAUUUCAAAUCAUCCGUUUGGCCAAGUACACAAGAUGGUACUUUACAAACUGUGACACUAAAUGUCGAGGAAACAAAUGAUGGUUUUGCUUAUGACGUUUUGUUAGACUACACAGCGACUAACUCGGCCAUCGGGACCGGAAAUCUCAUCUUGAUAAGGCCGAAAUAUAACAGCACAUUGUCGAUUCUUCGACUCGGGAUCGAUGGAAACCUGAGGGUUUUUACCUACUAUGACAAGGUUGAUUCACAAGCAUGGGAAGAGACUUUCACUCUCUUCUCUAGGGACUCAAUAUGGGGCAAUGAAUGCGAACUGCCGGAGAGGUGUGGGAACUUUGGACUCUGUGAGGAGAACCAAUGCGUUGCUUGCCCGUCACCAAACGGAUUACUCGGUUGGAGCCAGAAUUGUCAGCCGAAGAAGGUGAACUGUAGACCGAACGAUUUUAGCUACUACAAGCUAGAAGGAGUGAACCAUUUCAUGAGCCAGUACAAUGAAGGAGAAGGGAUAAAGGAGAGUGAUUGUGGGAGGAAAUGCACCUCUGAUUGCAAGUGCUUGGGGUACUUUUACCACAGGGAAACAUCCAAAUGUUGGAUCGCUAAUGAGUUGAAAACCCUUGCUAAAACCUCUAACUCUUCCCAUGUUGGUUACAUAAAGGCACCCAACAAGUGAUGGGAAUCCUAUUAAGUAUUUGUACUUUUUCCUCUGUAUUUUCCAGUUUAUUUUUUGUCUGCUAAUAAGUAGUUGUGAGUUUGAGUUACAUAUUAAAAGUAAU